AUUGAACGCUGGCGGCAUGCCUUACACAUGCAAGUCGAACGGCAGCACGGGAGCAAUCCUGGUGGCGAGUGGCGAACGGGUGAGUAAUAUAUCGGAACGUGCCCAGUCGUGGGGAUAACGUAGCGAAAGCUACGCUAAUACCGCAUACGAUCUAUGGAUGAAAGCGGGGGAUCGCAAGACCUCGCGCGAUUGGAGCGGCCGAUAUCAGAUUAGGUAGUUGGUGGGGUAAAGGCUCACCAAGCCAACGAUCUGUAGCUGGUCUGAGAGGACGACCAGCCACACUGGAACUGAGACACGGUCCAGACUCCUACGGGAGGCAGCAGUGGGGAAUUUUGGACAAUGGACGCAAGUCUGAUCCAGCCAUUCCGCGUGCAGGAUGAAGGCCCUCGGGUUGUAAACUGCUUUUGUACGGAACGAAAGGUUUCUAUUAAUACUAGGAGCUCAUGACGGUACCGUAAGAAUAAGCUACCGGCUAACUACGUG
rnacentral:rRNA from 1 species